GUUUAAAUAGUUUAUUUAAAAUAUUGAUUUGUGGUGUCAAAGAUAUGAUUAUUAAUCAUUUUAGACC
rnacentral:tRNA from 1 species